GUCUACAGUCAUGCCACCCUGAACUUGCCUGAUCUCGUUUGAUCUCAGAAGCUAAGCAGGGGCGGGCCUGGUUAGUACUUGGAUGGGAGACCACCUAGGAAGACCAGGUGCUGUAGGCA
rnacentral:rRNA from 1 species